rnacentral:rRNA from 1 species
AACGGCCAUACCAUGCUGAAUAUACCAGUUCUCGUUAGAUCACCGAAGUCAAGCAUCAUUGGGCGCGGUCAGUACUUGGGUGGGUGACCACCUGGGAAGC